GAAGGUUAGCUCAGCCAACUGUUGGAUAUGUUGGUUCAAGCCUGUAGUCGUGCCUGGUAGGCAAAUCCGCCGGGCUUAGAUGAGGGGUGAUAACGAGUCUGCUUGCAGACGAAGUGAGUGAUACCCUGCUUCCAGGAAAAGCCACUAAGCUUCAGCUACACACGACCGUACCGCAAACCGACACUGGUGCGCGAGAUGAGUAUUCUAAGGCGCUUGAGAGAACUCGGGAGAAGGAACUCGGCAAAUUGGUACCGUAACUUCGGGAUAAGGUACGCCCUUGUAGCUUGACUGGCUUGCGCCAGAAGGGUGAAGGGGUUGCAAUAAACUGGUGGCUGCGACUGUUUAAUAAAAACACAGCACUCUGCAAACACGAAAGUGGACGUAUAGGGUGUGACGCCUGCCCGGUGCCGGAAGAUUAAAUGAUGGGGUGCAAGCUCUUGAUUGAAGUCCCGGUAAACGGCGGCCGUAACAAUAACGGUCCUAAGGUAGCGAAAUUCCUUGUCGGGUAAGUUCCGACCUGCACGAAUGGCAUAAUGAUGGGGGCGCUGUCUCCAGCAGAGACUCAGUGAAAUCGAAUUCGCCGUGAAGAUGCGGUGUACCCGCGGCUAGACGGAAAGACCCCGUGAACCUUUACUGCAGCUUGACAUUGAACUUUGAUCUUACUUGUGUAGGAUAGGUGGGAGGCUUUGAAACCGAGACGCUAGUUUCGGUGGAGCCAAUCUUGAAAUACCACCCUGGUAAUAUUGAGGUUCUAACUCUGUCCCGUUAUCCGGGACGAGGACCAUGUCUGGUGGGUAGUUUGACUGGGGCGGUCUCCUCCCAAAGCGUAACGGAGGAGUACGAAGGUACGCUAGGUACGGUCGGAAAUCGUGCUGAUAGUGCAAUGGCAUAAGCGUGCUUAACUGCGAGACCGACAAGUCGAGCAGGUGCGAAAGCAGGUCAUAGUGAUCCGGUGGUUCUGUAUGGAAGGGCCAUCGCUCAACGGAUAAAAGGUACUCUGGGGAUAACAGGCUGAUACCGCCCAAGAGUUCAUAUCGACGGCGGUGUUUGGCACCUCGAUGUCGGCUCAUCUCAUCCUGGGGCUGUAGCCGGUCCCAAGGGUAUGGCUGUUCGCCAUUUAAAGAGGUACGUGAGCUGGGUUUAAAACGUCGUGAGACAGUUUGGUCCCUAUCUGCCGUGGGCGUUGGAUAUUUGAAGGGGGCUGCUCCUAGUACGAGAGGACCGGAGUGGACGAACCUCUGGUGUACCGGUUGUCACGCCAGUGGCAUCGCCGGGUAGCUAUGUUCGGAAGAGAUAACCGCUGAAAGCAUCUAAGCGGGAAACUCGCCUUAAGAUGAGAUAUCCCUGGGGACUAGAUCCCCUUGAAGGGUCGUUCGAGACCAGGACGUUGAUAGGUCAGGUGUGUAAGCGCAGUAAUGCGUUCAGCUAACUGAUACUAAUUGCCCGUAAGGCG
rnacentral:rRNA from 1 species